AUGAUUCUGCCUCGCCAAUGGCUGAGAAAUUUUUUCAGUUAGGUCGUGUGCGUAUUUUUCCUGUCGUUCAAUCUUCAUUCAAAACCGAUGCUUCUGGGGGCCAAGGUACCCUCCUCCCUUUCGCUCCCUUUCCGCGACGUCUAGCUGCUCGAUUUCUUCGCGUUGCCUCAGAAGAUUGCUCCUUUUGUUUAUUCUCUAGUUGUUCGAUCGGGAAAGCUUUCUCCUUUUGGCCGAUUCUUUGCUGUCGGAGUUCUUAUACUUGGAUCUUCUCGUUAUCUGCCUGAUACCUCUCUUCCGAGUCCCGGGUUCAUUUUCUCCUUCUCUAUCGGAUUGAAGGCUGCUGCCUUCGGAGAUCCUCUUGGGUUUCGAUCGGAAAGUUUUCGCCUUUUCAGGAUCAUUUAGUUUCCGAGGAUAACAGAACAAUGCCCUAGCUUCGGUAAGUUCUUACGCAUUCGCCAAAGGAGGAUAAAUAAUUGCCCCCGGAGAUACCAAAAUUGAACCUCCCUUUCAGCUGGAUUGUGGGAUUAUUGGGAAAUUUUGACAUUUGCACCAGAAGAAUUCCAAGAGCUGGCUAUGGAGGCUGUGAUCCCUGGAUACUGGUUACUUCCUUAUUUUUUCGCAACCUUUUCUAUGCUAUAUCUGUUUGGUUACUUCCUGAUCUUUCACAAAUGGAAUCGAAAGUACCGUCCUGAAGCAUCAAGUUGCUUCAUUUCCCUGUUCCAUGGUACCCCAGCUGUGUUCAUGGCAGUUUUGGCACUUCGAAAUGAACCUAUUCAAGGAUUUGCCUCCGCCAAUACCAAUUUCCAGAACGUCGUCCUCGACUUCAGCAUUGGUUACUUCCAAGUUGAUCUCCUUCACUACCUGAUACUUCUCCCAGGGGACCAUCUCUUCAUUGCCCAUCACUUGGCAACACUCUUCGUCUUCGUUACAUGUCGUUACCUCGUUGCUCAUGGUGCUUUCUCACUCCUGGUCCUUCUUGUGCUCGCGGAGGUUACUAGUGCUUGCCAAAACGUGUGGACACUGGCUGGACUGAGGAAAGGAGAGUCGGUCAGUGCAGCAAAGAUAUACAAAAUAUUGUCUCCUCCUUUCUAUACUCUGUACACACUAAUGAGGGGAUUAGUUGGGCCAGUUUUCUUCUGCAGGAUGAGCGUGUAUUACUUGAGUGGGAAGGCUACUGAUGAGAUUCCCAUCUGGGUUUCUGCUGCAUGGAUUAUUGUGGUUGGUGCCGCGAUUUUAGUUAGUAUUUUGUGGAUAUUCAACUUAUGGUUAGAGUUCUUCAGAGUGAAGGAGAAUGGAGAGAAAAAGAACAGCUAGCUGCAUGCUACCCUAUCAAUGGCAAUAAUGUGGCUUGAGCUACAAUGAAUUCCUUGGUGGAUGUCACAUUGUCUCCCUGACCAAUUAUUAAUAUAUUGACUGGUGAAGAUGAUCUUAGUUUUUGGGAGGUUAUGAGCUUUCCUUAAUCAGGAUUCUCAAAGGGUCUAUAAGAAGAAUCGAGCUGGGCCAGUUGAUGGAUGGAGCAAGCAUUUCAUUGUCGAGCUUACAAGACUACAAGGUAUGCAAAUUUUCAAGCCGUAUGCAAAGAGCAAGAUAGGAAAUUAAGGAAAAACAAAAAGAGCUUGCUAGCCAUAACCAUGUGUGUUGCAUCAGAUCAUCUCAAGAAGGUCAAGUCCAUAGCUACUUGAUUUAAAAGAGAUGCCCAAACUUGUGCAAACUAAUCUAUCUAGA